rnacentral:rRNA from 1 species
AUUGAACGCUGGCGGCAUGCCGUACACAUGCAAGUCGAACGGUAACAGGUUAAGCUGACGAGUGGCGAACGGGUGAGUAAUACAUCGGAACGUGCCCAGUAGUGGGGGAUAGCCCGGCGAAAGCCGGAUUAAUACCGCAUACGACCUAAGGGUGAAAGGGGGGGAUCGCAAGACCUCUCGCUAUUGGAGCGGCCGAUGUCAGAUUAGCUAGUUGGUGGGGUAAAAGCUCACCAAGGCGACGAUCUGUAGCUGGUCUGAGAGGACGACCAGCCACACUGGGACUGAGACACGGCCCAGACUCCUACGGGAGGCAGCAGUGGGGAAUUUUGGACAAUGGGCGCAAGCCUGAUCCAGCCAUGCCGCGUGCGGGAAGAAGGCCUUCGGGUUGUAAACCGCUUUUGUCAGGGAAGAAAUCCUUUGGGUUAAUACCUCGGGGGGAUGACGGUACCUGAAGAAUAAGCACCGGCUAACUACGUG